AGUUAUUUCUUACUCAUCUCCACUUACUGCCAAAGCUGUUAGGAGGCUCACAGCCACUGGAAUUCUCAGGCAGUUAUGGCUUCCUACGGGUUCCCAUGGCAACCAGAGAUUGCUACACCCUCGAAAGCACAUUUACAAGCUUCGCGGGUUGGACUAAAAUGCAGACCACACCUCUCUCAAGGUCACACAGAGCAGGCUGUUUCUGGGCCCUGUUUGGUUUAGGCCUGUGGGCUUACAGGCAGGAGUCCUGUGAGUGUGUGGAACUGCGUCAUCCUGACGGGCAGAAGAGGCAGCAGGGGUGGAAGAAGCCCCGCCCCCUCCCCCAGUCACAGCCACACCUUAGGAGGGAAGACAAGAGCCACCUUGAGUCGGAAAAGGGUUCCUCUAGCCCAGUCCCACCCUAAAACCAAAUCAAAUCCCAGCAGAGUCUUAGGUUCCCACGUCAUCCCGGACCUAACCCAAAUCGUAAACUCGGCCCCACCCUCCCUCCAUCCUCACUGCAAACUCUACCCAAUUGCAAUGGUACAAUUAAUCCGAACCCAGCCCAGCGUCUUCAUGCUCAUUAGUAUCCACCUCAAGCUCUGUCCUAACCGGGAAUCCACUUCCAAACCCAACUCUAACAUCUCCAUCCCCAAAGGCCAGCUCACACUCCGUCCUACCCGGGGAAUCCACUUCCAAACCCAACCCUAACAUCUCCAUCCCCAAAGGCCAGCUCACGCUCCAUCCUACCCAGGGAAUCCACUUCCAAACCCAACCCUAACAUCUCCAUCCCCAAAGGCCAGCUCAAGCUCUAACAGGAGCUCCCAGCCGCUGACCUGACUACUCUCAAGUUGGCCGGUUUACCCCUGCCACCCCAUGCACCUCUCAACAGUCCCCUGUCCUUUCUGCGCCACCACAUCAUUCCUCCCGUUCACAGCAUCAGUGACUUCACCUCCAACCCAGCUCACUGCUACCGUACAGCUGCAUAUCCCUGCUCCGCUGCACCCUUGCUAGGCCCUUGAGCACACCUAACACUCCGCAGAGGCCAGUGUGGAGUACAUGGACUGCACAUGGACUUGUCUGCAGGCACACAGACACUGUUCCCCGAAGUACACACCCACCUCCUCACAUACAUGUAUAAACAUGGACGAAUACACAUACACACACUUUAGUGUGUAUACACACUCCUAGCAUAUACACGUCUCCAUGUUCACACACAGGCACCUCAACGUGAGCGCACACACACCACACACCUUACCAUAGAUAAUACUCUUUAGUGUACUCAUGCAUAUAAUCAAGCAUAUACAAACACCUCAGUGUAUGUAAUACUCGGGCAUACAUAGGCACACACAUCACACUCAGUGCCCCUACACACAAAUGUACACACACUCUUCAGUGCACACAACACACCUUUGCACAAAUCCCUUUCAGAAUACCUACAUAUGUCCUUCAAAACACACCUCAACGUACUUACACACAUCUCAGUGUAUGCACACAUACUCCUUCAGUGUACACACACACACACACACACACACACACAC